rnacentral:lncRNA from 1 species
GACAUUUUUGCGAAGUCUUGCUCCCUUGGCUGCUGAAUGAGAAAACCUCCGAGUGCCGCAUUGACCUUUUCGGUGGAUUUUUUUUAAAAAAAGAAAGUUUUCAUUUUCAGUAAAAUAAUGUUUCUAUUCAAAUGCAAUGUUCAAUGAAAUACUCAUCCUCAUCGAUGAAAGAGUUGUUUCUGUGAUGUGAAAAAAAGAAAAGAAAAUCUUCAUUCCAAAACUUGCUCUUCUUUGUAAAAAACUUUUCGCCUGAACAAAAGUUUACUUUGAAUCGAAGGAAUGUUUGUUUUAAUAUUUUAAAAAAUGUUGUUCAGCCAUUUUUCAGUGCGUCCUAUCCAUUUUCACUUGAGGGACGGGAAAAAACGAAGAAACUUUUGUUUUAGUUUCGGAAAAAACGUUCUUUAACAAUUUUUUUAGUGCAUUCUAUCCGUUUCCCACUUGAGAGAGAGAGAAAAAAAAUCUCCUCCUAUAAUCCUCCCAUUCCCCAGUGACUCACUUGCCGAUACGCGGUUCUCCAAAUAAGCUGCACCCGGAUCAAAACGGUGGGGCUCACGACCGUAAGACAGGCAAUUAAUGAUCGACAAGUUAGAUGACUGCGACGUUCCGAAGCUAUGCAAUUUGAUGAUUAGUCGCUGAAAAAACAAUCGGGCCCCGGAUCCGACUUCCCAUUCCGGCGCGGCGCGCCCGUCAAGAACCAGAAGUGACAUCACUAUUGACUUUUCGUAAAAUCAACGGACCAUCCAUCUUAUGAGUCUGCUAAAACAUCGGUAUGGGGUGUGACGGCACCUCCGUAAUUUAUCGCAAGCCAAAGGUUCUCCUUUCGAGAGUGAAAGUUUCGCGACCGCAAUCGUCCUUAGGUCUUCCUCGAUGGGCGGGGGGUAUUGAAGGGGGGGGGGAUUGUCGGAUUCCCCCGAAAUAUCAACAACGCCCCCCUCCCCCGCCUCCGUCCCCCGGGAUGCAUGUGUGUCCAGUGGAGCGCUGCAAAACUGGUUUGAAUACGGAUCGUGUUCGCGAUACUGUUGCCGUGCGGAAUGUUUUUGAAGGAUUUUCGCUGCGAGUAGACUGACAGUGAAUGUAAUGAUGUAAUAAUUUUUUAAAUUAAUAUUCAUGUUGCAUAACUGCUUUUCUAAGGGUUUACAUGUAAAAUGCCGUCGACAAGACGACACAAUAUAUAGGACACCGAAAAAAUGCUUUGAGGAUGCAAUCAGACUUCUUAAGGCAAUGA